rnacentral:rRNA from 1 species
UGAGUAACACGUAUCCAACCUGCCGUCUACUCUUGGCCAGCCUUCUGAAAGGAAGAUUAAUCCAGGAUGGCAUCAUGAGUUCACAUGUCCGCAUGAUUAAAGGUAUUUUCCGGUAGACGAUGGGGAUGUGUUCCAUUAGAUAGUAGGCGGGGUAACGGCCCACCUAGUCAACGAUGGAUAGGGGUUCUGAGAGGAAGGUCCCCCACAUUGGAACUGAGACACGGUCCAA